rnacentral:rRNA from 1 species
GAUGAACGCUGGCGGCGUGCCUAAUACAUGCAAGUCGAGCGAAGCGGGGACGGGUGAGUAACACGUGGAUAACCUCCUCUAAUACUAGGAUAACUUCGGAAACCCGGAGCUACACCGGAUACUUAUGUAAUGAUACGCGCUGCAUUAGCUAGUUGGUAAGGUAACGGCUUACCAAGGCAACGAUGCAUAGCCGACCUGAGAGGGUGAUCGGCCACACUGGAACUGAGACACGGUCCAGACUCCUACGGGAGGCAGCAGUAGGGAAUCUUCCGCAAUGGGCGAAAGCCUGACGGAGCAACGCCGCGUGAGUGAGGAAGGUCUUCGGAUCGUAAAACUCUGUUAUUAGGGAAGCGGUACCUAAUCAGAAAGCCACGGCUAACUACGUGCCAGCAGCCGCGGUAAUUC